UUACUUACCUGGCAGGGGAGAUUCCAUGAUCACGAAGGUGAUUUUCCCAGGGUGAGGCUUUUCAUUGCACUCUGGAUGUGCUGACCCCUGCGAUUUCCCCAAAUGUGGGAGACGUGACUGCAUAAUUUGUGGUCAUGGGGACUGCAUUCGUGCUUUCCCCU